rnacentral:rRNA from 1 species
GGCAGACUGCUCAGUAACACGUGGAUAACCUAACCUUAGGUGGAAGAUAACCUCGGGAAACUGAGAAUAAUAUUCCAUAGAUCUAGGAUGCUGGAAUGCAUCCAGAUUGAAAGUUCCGACGCCUAAGGAUGGGUCUGCGGACUAUCAGGUUGUAGUCAGGGUAAAGACCUGACUAGCCUACGACGGAUAUGGGUUGAGAGAGCAAUAGCCCAGAGACGAUGUCUGAGACACGGUAUCGGGCCCUACGGGGCGCAGCAGGCGCGAAAUCUUCACAAUGUGCGAAAGCACGAUGAGGGGAUCCCAAGUGCUGGCACGUAAGUGUCAGCUGUUUCUUAGUCUAAAAAACUGAGAGAGUAAGGGCUGGGUAAGACGGGUGCCAGCCGCCGCGGUAAUACCUGCAGCUCAAGUGGUGGCCGCUAUUAUUGGGCCUAAAACGUCCGUAGCCUGUUUAGUAAAUGCUUGGGUAAAUUGUGUAGCUUAACUAUACGAAUACCGGGUAGACAGCUAAACUUGGGACCGGGAGAGGCUAGAGGUACUUCUAGGGUAGAGGUGAAAUUCUGUAAUCCUAGGGGGACCACCAGUGGCGAAGGCGUCUAGCUAGAACGGGUCCGACGGUGAGGGACGAAAGCUGGGGGAGCGAACCGGAUUAGAUACCCGGGUAGUCC